UCAAACUCCUGACCUCAAAUGAUCCACCCGGAUGGUGAGAGUUUUAAUGUGUGUGGUUUUCGUUUUGUUUUUGUCAUAAAAACUUGGCAUGGUGGUUAUCAGUCCCCCAAUUUUCUCUGGAAAUUGCAAAGGUCCCUGGGAGUGUGCUCAAGAAUCCUUCAGAUCCCAUGCACCCAGGCUCAGCUGGGAGCCCAGAAAACAGGGAGGAGAGGCAGCCCCUGCCAGGAGCCAGCAGCCAGCAGCAACAGCAGUGGGGGUGGAUGGCCCAGGGGCAGGUGAGCAUGGUUCCAGAUGCCUGCACUUUGGGUCCCAAAGGCCUGGCACUGGGAGAGUGUUCCCAGGCUGUCUGUGCCUCCUGCUGUCCCUGCCCCACCUGCUGAGGUGUCCCCAGAGGAGCUGGAACAGUGUGUUACAGCUCCCCAGGAAGUAAGGUCCCUGAGCACGCUGUGUUCUGGAGGCCAACGAAGGUGUGCCAGGCUCUGGCCAGUGGACCGUGGGUGCACACCUGCUCCAAGGCCCAGUGGCUUGGCAGGUCCCUGCCAGGAACAGCCACACUCAGCUCAGCUGGAAAGUCAGCCCAGCAGGCUCAGAGAUGGCCAGGGACAACAGGAACUCACAGGAGAGCCCAGACCACUCCAGGGGCCUUGCAACAGGCCCCGAAGACCCAGGGAUGGGGAGGAGGAACCUGGAGAGAGGGAUGGCAGAAGCAGCACUUGGGAAACCGCUCAACCGGGGAGAUAAAAGGUGAACACUGUGCUACACUCACAGCAUUUUAAACCUUGCAGCUCCCAGCAACUCUGCCCUAAUGAGAAGCAGGAAGAGCCGCGACAGGCAGGGAAGGGAGCUGCUUGGAGGCGAGGAGGAUGGGAGGGCACAGAGCUUAACUAAGUCUUGUGCCCUGCCACCCUGGGAGCCAUCCUGCCCCACGGAGACUCCCACAGAGGGUUUCCAAGCAGGGGAGAGCAACCAGAAUUCACAGCCUGCAUUUUGGGCUCUGGUGAUACAGACUGGAAUGCAUCUAAGGGUGAGAGCCAUGAGCUGGAAAUGCGGGGUACAACUGUGGGGUGCGGCCACCGUACCUCGCAUCAUGCCGAAAAUGUCCUGUAGUGGUUAUAGCAGGACCCCUGCCUCACCCCAUGCCCGGAUAUCUAGAUCAUGCAGCCGAGGAACAGCAGAGGGUCUCCUGGAUGCUCUUCUUCACGCCUCAUCCUCAUCCCUAGCUCCAGCUCCAGGCCCAGGCUGCUUUUAACAAGACAGUGAAGAGUGGCAGUUAAAGGUCUGGCUGGCAUCAGACAGUGCUGAAUUCAGACACCAGCUGAGCUGAAAACGGCCUGGCUGGGUGACCUUGAGCAAGCAGCCUGCCCUCUCCGAGGCUCAGUUUAUUUUCUGGAAGGGGGAAGACGGUGUCUACUUCCAACAACCGCCAUGAUGUUUCAGAUUCAGCCCGAAGGGUGAGCAGCCAAUAAACAGUGCCGAGAAAGGUCUCUGGCCUGCCAGGUAGAGAAAUGACCUGAUUCCUUCCAGAAGUUUCCAAUGUUUCCAAGCCGAUGAGGCUCCUGGGAGACGCCUCCAGAUCUUGUAACGUUCAGGGAAGCAUGGGCUCUGGUUGCAUUAGGGAGGAUUUAUUUUAUUUUUAAAGGAGUUGAGGCCACUUUGCAAUCAGAGCCUUCAUGGCUGGAGCAGGGAGAGCCGAGGAAGGGUAUUAAUCAAGGCGUUUUAAGGACAUGCAAAUCAGGAGAAAGCUCAAGUGAUUAGGGUGUGAUGGGGCCUGCAGUCCAGCCUGUAUCCCCAUCUGAGAAGAGACAGCUAGAGAGCCAGGCAAGGUGGCUCAGGCCCAGCUGGGGGCGGCAGCCAAGGGGCUGUCAUGGGGCUGGGAGCAAGUGGAGGCGGAGGGAAGGGUCCCUGAUGACUGCACUGUCCAUGUGGUACUCUGGCUGGGUCCCCGCCUCCCCCACAGCUGCAGAGGCUGGGAUAGGCCCCUCUUCCUAAGGAUACGGAAUGGCUGUUUGGGUGAAAGGGGCCCACUGGCACUGCUGGGGCGCGGGAUGGGGAAUGUGAUGUCAGCGAUCCGCGGGAUCUUCGGGGUGACAGCCGUACCCCCUGCGUAGGACCCAGGGCUCCACAUCUAUAGACCUGACCUAAGGAAAUAUGCGGGCGUGUGCACAAGGAUGCCAUCUCAGGGACUGCGUAUUAAUAAAAAGCUGAAUCAGUGUCCAGCAAGGCGGGUCGUUCGAGCUGGUUAUGGGAUGUGUUUACCAUGGACUUUCAGGUCCUCCUGAGAAAUGGCGACCUAGACGUGGGAAGAUGGUUGCAAUGUAUUGUUCCUCAAAGGAGAAACAAAGCAGGUUGCAAAACACUGGGAACUGUCUGUCCAUCUUCGAAAAGCCAGUCAUACAUCUAGAAAAAUCUGGAAGGGUAGCCACAAAAACAUCAUCAGUAGGUACUUUGGAGAGGGUGGAUUUCAGGUUAUUGUUACUGUCCCCUUUCCUGUUAAUUUUUGUGCAAUGAACAUAUGUGUAUUUGUAAUCAAUAAAGCCAUCUUCUUUUCUCUUUGUAAAAAA